AUUGCUUCUCGGCCUCUUGGCUUAGAUCAAGUGUAGUUUCUGUUCUUAUCAGUUUAAUAUCUGGUAUGUCCCUCACAUGGGGACUGUGUAUUAAAUUGAUUUUUGAAACAGGGAGCUGGACCAAGAGCUCGCUCUGUCCACUCUGAGCAUCAACCCAGUAUUGCAGUGUCUCUGGGAAUGGUGCACUUCCC